GACGAACGCUGGCGGCGUGCUUAACACAUGCAAGUCGAACGUGAUUUUUGUGGAAAUUCUUUCGGGUAUGGACAUGAAAUGAAAGUGGCGAACGGGUGAGUAACACGUGAGCAACCUACCUUACACAGGGGGAUAGCCGUUGGAAACGACGAUUAAUACCGCAUGAGACCACAGAAUCGCAUGAUAUAGGGGUCAAAGAUUUAUCGGUGUAAGAAGGGCUCGAGUCUGAUUAGCUAGUUGGAAGGGUAAAGGCCUACCAAGGCGACGAUCAGUAGCCGGUAUGGGAGGAUGAACGGCAACAUUGGAAGUGAGACACGGUCCAAACUCCUACGGGAGGCAGCAGUGGGGAAUAUUGAACAAUGGGGGGAACCCUGAUGCAGCGACGCCGCGUGAGCGUAGAAGGUGUUAGAAUCGUAAAGCUCUGUCCUAUGAGAAGAUAAUGACGGUAUCAUAGGAGGAAGCCCCGGCUAAAUACGUG
rnacentral:rRNA from 1 species